rnacentral:lncRNA from 1 species
AUGGCGCCUGUGUACUGGGCCAGCCGUCUGUCGCUCUUGUGGUUGCUUGUCUGGUUGUCUGCUCUAUUUUUAAACUGCUACACGCUCUUAAUCUACGACCGUCAAGCACUUUUGGAUAAUCGCAACUCGGUUGCGACCUCUUUCACAAACACUUUGGAUGUGCACUGCUCCUUUAACAAGACCGAUGAGCCGUUCACAUCGGCUAUCCCGGGACAUAUCCGCCGGUGGCCCCUCAACAUCCCGCGGAAAAAGCGAAGGAGGAAACGAGGAAACCGAGGAGGAUACUUCGUGAAGCUGAAAGCUCAUCUGCGGGCUGGCUUUCUCUCUGAUCCUUCUCACGAAUCGUUUUACGGUGGCUCUACCACCUGGCGCCCACUGGACGUGGCAUACCGGUGGCUUCAUCAUGUUCUCCCCCUGCACCCGAGCCCUGUCUCUCGUUCCGGUCUCCACCGAAACGGCCUCGGCUCCCGACGUCAGGGAGUAACUCACAGAAAUCUACACGCGCUGGAAAGAGCGUCCUCGUCUCCUGUUAUUAUCUCUCCACCAAAGAUGGCAUUAUUAAAUGCCCGUUCCUUGGUGAAUAAGACCUUCUUAUUAAACGACUUUUACUCAGCUCACAACUUGGAUUUUAUGUUUAUCACGGAAUCCUGGAUAAAGGUUGGUGAUCUAACUCCGUUUUCUGAUCUGAUCCCUGAUGACUGCACAUUUUUUAACUCUCCUCGUCCGAGUGGACGCGGGGGUGGCAUAGUAACAAUUUUAAAGAACUCUCUCUCUGCACGCUGUCGAUUGGUCCCUGGAACGGCCUUUUCAAGCUUUGAAGCUCAGUUUCUUCACUUGGACUGGAAUGGUCCUGUAUGUCUAGCGGUGAUUUACCGUCCUCCGCACUGCACUAAGGAUUUUAUACAGCAUUUCACUGAACUGAUCGGCAAUAUUGCCACAAAUUACGAUAGCUUUCUAUUGGUGGGCGACUUUAAUAUCCAUGUCUGCUGUCCGUCUAACCCCUUAUCACAUGAGUUUCUUAAUAUUAUCGAUGCUUUUAAUCUAUCCCAGUGGAUCCGUGAUGCUACUCAUAUUCAGGGUCAUACGUUGGAUCUUGUACUCUCAUAUGGGCUUGAUGUGACUGAUGUUGUGCUCUCUGAUUUUAUGAUCUCUGACCAUAAGCCUAUAUUAUUCGCACUGUGUCUUCCAGAGCUCUCUUACUUUUCAAAUACUACUGUAAAUCUUUCUCGCUUCUACUCUCCACAGUUUAGCACAAAUUUCAACUUGUGUUUUGCUGAUUGUUGCUCACAGUUGCACUUAACCGUUAUCUGA